UAGAUGGAUGCUCGCUGGCUUGAGCGCUUAGCUGUU
rnacentral:tRNA from 1 species